rnacentral:tRNA from 1 species
AAGACACUAGUUAAGCAUAACCUCAUCUUGUCAAGGUGAAAUCGCGGGUUAAACCCCCGCGUGUCUUA